rnacentral:rRNA from 1 species
AACGAACGCUGGCGGCAGGCUUAACACAUGCAAGUCGAGCGCCCCGCAAGGGGAGCGGCAGACGGGUGAGUAACGCGUGGGAACGUACCUUUUGGUUCGGAACAACUCCGGGAAACUGGAGCUAAUACCGGAUAAGCCCUAACGGGGAAAGAUUUAUCGCCGAAAGAUCGGCCCGUGUCUGAUUAGCUAGUUGGUGAGGUAACGGCUCACCAAGGCGACGAUCAGUAGCUGGUCUGAGAGGAUGAUCAGCCACACUGGGACUGAGACACGGCCCAGACUCCUACGGGAAGCAGCAGUGGGGAAUAUUGGACUAUGGGCGCAAGCCUGAUCCAGCCAUGCCGCGUGAGUGAUGAAGGCCUUAGGGUUGUAAAGCUCUUUUGUCCGGGAAGAUAAUGACUGUACCGGAAGAAUAAGCCCCGGCUAACUUCGUG